GCUGAAGUGGGCAGAUCACUUGAGGUCAGGAGUUCAAGACCAGCCUGGCCAACAUGGUGAAACCCCGUCUCUACUAAAAAUACAAAAAUAUGCCGGGUGUGGUGGCAGGCGCCUGUAAUCCCAGCUACUUGGGAGGCUGAGGCAGGAGAAUUGCUUUAACCGGGGAGGCGGAGGUUGUAGUGAGCCGAGAUCAUGCCAUUGCACUCCAGCCUGAGCGACAGAGCGAGACUCUGUCUCAAAAAGAAAAAAAAAAAAAAAGAAAGAAAGAAAAAAGAUAAGCACCUUAGAGUGAACCGCCUGAUGGGUUCAGUGCUCAGGAAAGCUGAUGGGAAGGAGAGUGAAUGAAUGCCUGUGACUGGGGUCCAAAACAAACCACCUGUUCUGGGAUGCUUUGGGCAACAAAACAACAAAGGCCCCACUACACAGGAAAAUUCCCCGCCGGGUGCAGUGGCUCACACCUGUAAUCCCAGCACUUUGGAAGGCUGAGGAGGGCGGAUCACCUGAGAUCGGGAGUUCGAGACCAGCCUGGCCAACAUGGCGAAACCCCCGCCUCUACUAAAAAAAAAAAAAAAAAAAAAAAAUAGCUGGGCGUGGUGGUGCGCGCCUGUAAUCCCAGAUACUCCAGAGGCUGAGGCACGAGAAUCGCUUGAACCCGGCGGCAGAGGUUGGCAGUGAGCUGAGAUUGUGCCACUGCACUCCAGCCUGGGUGACAGAGCAAGACUCUGUCUCAAUUAAAAAAAAAAAAGAAAAGAAAAUUCCCAAGCAUCAGGGACAAACCCAUGUUCUACAUCUGGUGUCAAGAGACAAAAACAAACAUCUUAUAUGUACCCGGCAUCCAAUACGGGCUUAUUGAUUAUAUUUGUGUUCCAGAACAGGAACUGAAGGGUGUGCAGGAAGUGGUGAGGAACUUCUGAGCAAAUCUCAGUGUAGGACUCCUUCUGAGUUUUCGGUGAUAUUUGAUCAUCAACUGCUUAAGCCCAAAGAAGAAUGUUCCUGCCCCCUAGAUGUGCUGUUCUGGUUAUCCAAAUGACGGGGCUGUCAAGUGCGAGUUCUUAACCUGACUUUCAUGGAUGAACUUAAGGGGGAUCUGUAAAAUUGUUUUUUCUUUCUUUCUUUUCUUUUCUUUUUCUUUUUCCUUUUCUUUUUUUUUUGAGAUGGAGUCUCACUCUGUUGCCCAGGCUAGAGUGCAGUGGCACGAUCUUGGCUCAUUGCAACUUCCGCCUCCCAGGUUCAAGCAAUUCUCCUGCCUCAGCCUCUUGAGUAGCUGGGACUACGGGCGCAUGCCACCAUGCCCAGCUCACUUUUGUAUUUUUAGUAGAGACAGGGUUUAGUUGCCCAGGCUGGUCUUGAACUCCUGACCUCAGGUGAUCCACCCACCUCAUCCUUCCAAAGUGCUGGGAUUACAGGCGUGAGCCACCACACCCGGCCCUGUAAAAUUAAGUGUGUGUGUGCGCACAUGCAUGUGUGUGCACACACGCAUGUGUGCAUUGUUCCAGGGGAGAGUCCAUAGCUUUCAUCAGAAUCUCAAAAGGGUCCAAGAUGCCCCAAAAGGUUAAGAACUUCUGGUGUAGAAGCUUAAGGAUUAGAGCAGCUGAAGGAUUGUGAAGUAAUCAGCAAAUCAGGAUAUCAUACGGAAUGCUCACCAGCGACAGCCUUCUGUGCGGCCCACAGUUCCCAACUGACACUGUGGAGACUUCACAUCCUACGUGAAAUGCCGAGUCUCUCCCCAGAUCCUAAGUCUCUCCUUCUGUCUCCUCUCUGCUUCCUCUCCCUGACUCUCUAUUAUCCUCUCAUUUUCUUCUCUUCCUUGCUUUCUCCUCUUUCUCUCCCUCUUUUCCAUGCUCUCUUUCUUCAUUCCUAGCUGCUCUGAAGCAUAUUUUUAGUAUUCUUUGUAUUUUCCAAUAAACCUUAUAGAAUGGAGCAUUGUGUUUAUAUUUUUUUAAGCAGCUGAGCUGAGUGUUUUCUGUCACUCUAAGAAAAGAAAGUAGCAAAAUUACUUUUGGCUUUGAACUACCGUGUACAUGUGUCUGCAUAUCUGUUUGUGAUCACAUUUGCGCGUUCAUUCCUCUCUAGAAACUGUGCAGCCCAGCCGGGCGCGGUGGCUCACGCCUGUAAUCCCAGCACUUUGGGAGGCCAAGGCAAGUGGAUCACUUGAGAUCAGGAGUUCCAGACCAGCCUGGCCAACAUAGUGAGACCUUGUCUCUACUAAAAAUACAAAAAUUAGCUGGGUGUGGUGGUGCACACCUGUAAUCCAUAAUCCCAGCUGCUCGGGAGGCUGAGGUGGGAGGAUCACUUGAGCCUGG
rnacentral:lncRNA from 1 species